rnacentral:lncRNA from 1 species
AGAUAUCACACUCCAAGCUGCAUAUACACUUUUUUUUUUGCUAAAAGCAUAUACACUAUUGUUAUGCAUUUAUUUUAGUGCCGGUAACUACUUAAAUGUUUCUUACCAUCUUUUCAUAUCGCACAAUGUUGUAGUUAUUAUACUCUGUUCCAGAAAUGUCAAAUUGUCAAUCAUUUUAUAUCAAUUGCUUCCGUCCUCUCCGAAGUUUCUAGCAUAUCCACCCAUAUCCCUAUUCAGACUAGUAGGAGGCGAUUUACUAAAUUCUUAGCAAAACUAAAGAAGACUGAAAGAGGAUACCUGACUGAAAGUCCCAGUUUGGAUUAACUGGAGCUAAUACCAAUAUCUUUUGUGGUAAAUAAUUUUGGAACAAUUGCAAAACUUCAUCACUCCCUUGCUACAGACUUGCUCUUCUAUCUGCUUUCCACGCAGAGGCGGAUGUAGAAAGAGAUUUCAGAGGGGCCAAUCA